ACAUUUGGAAUGGAUAAGCAAUGAGGUUGUACUGUACUGUACAGGGAACUAUAUCCAGUCUCUUGGGAUAGACCAUGAUGGAAGAUAAUAUAAGAAAGGGAAUGUAUGUAUGUAAAUGCGUCAGUUUGCUGUACAGCAGAAAUUGGCACAACACUAUAAAUCAACUAAAAUAAAAAAAUAUAUAAAGUCCAAAUAUAAAAUAAAAUAAAAUAAAACAUUGACCUAAAAUAUCAGCUAUGUGGCAGGUCAAACCUUGAUCACUAAGUACCUAAUAGCAUAUGGUACAUCUCUCUCAUUAUGAUAAACGGGGGGACUCUUAUCCCUGGAGCCACAUCAACCCUAAGUUAGAAUGCUUAGUCCUAUUUACUUCACACUUAGUCCUAUUUUAAGAAAAUUCAUACAUGUAUCAUAUCACGUUCUCUCUUCAAAAUCCCAGUGGGAUUGGGGGAAAAGGCAUUAAAUUAGAAUCUCAAUUUUAGCAUAGAUAAGAUUUGUUCAAGUUCACAAAGCUACUUGUAGAUAUCAGAACAAGUUGUUUUCCAUAAGCACUCAUUUGUUAGAAAUUAGACAAGAAAGCACAGCAACCCCCAGUAGGGACAUAUAGAUAUACCUAUACUGAUAUUUCUCAAACCCAAACUGAACUUGAAUAAACAAAAUAUUAUCAAGUAAACAUUUUGAGAUCCGUGGUUGAAAGACAUAUUAUAAAAAUUAGAAGUCCCAUUUUCAUUCAUUCAUUAAAUAUUUAUCUAUUAAAUACCUACUAUGUACUUUCCAUCAUGCUAGGCUUUGGGCACACAGUGGUAAAUAAAAGUUCAAGAUCCCUGCUCACAAUCUCUUAGCAGUCUUCGCUGCAGAGACCAACUUGUACUAUGAGGCCAAAUUCGCUAAGGCAGGUCCACAGCUGGCCUUAUAAGACAUCCAUUAACCUCCUGAAAGUAAAGACAGAGUUUUGGUUAUCUGUGUAUUUACUUUUCUAAGGAAUAGGCUCAUAGCUUUCAUUCAUUUCUCCAAUUCUUAAUUUUAAAAGUUAACUAACAGUAAAAAACAAAAAACAAAAAACCUCACACAGACAAAAACCAAAAACCAUGACUAAAAUCAAUGAAUAAACAAGCAGUUAUUGUAAGUGAAGGACCUCCCUCCUUCUCUCCUUGUCUUUUCAAUUUCUGGUCACAUCUAAUCUGACAAAUCCUAGGAGUCACUAGGGUGUAACCAUGUGAUAUCUGCCUUGUAAUCUCUAAAGUACUAUAUAUAACCAAUAGUCAAGGUUAUGGUCAUUAUUGCUAAAUUUGUAGGUUUCUUCUUCCAAAGAAAGUCAAAUAUUUAAUGACCAGCCAUCAUGUUAAAGACAUUAUCUUACAACACAGGUCAUAUAAGAAGGGAGGGAAUAUAAACUUGGCAUUCAAGCUACCACAGUUAAGUUGAUCUGUUUUCCCUUUUCUACCUUUCCUUUCCAUCCUGCCUUCCUGGUUGUAUUUCCUUUUGAAGGAUACAAAGACAGUGAAAACUUUUAGGUUUUCUAAGGGAUUUUAAAAUGAUUAUUAAUUCUCGAUAUUUUAAAAUAAUCAGUGUAUCCUGAGGUUAAUAGGACCAAGUGGUUUUUGUGAACAUAUUAAAUAAGUAAAAAUGCGUUCCCACAGACCUGGGAAUAAACACCUCAUUUCCAAAACGCUUCUAGAAACUAAGGGAAACUAAUGCUUUUCAUCAUAAGGAUCCUGGGCGCAGUAUACAGACUGCAUCCCAAAUUGAACAAUAGUUGGCUAGAUUUAUCCUCCUCCUCCUCCAUUUGACAUACACUAGAGUCAAAAAUCCUCUGGAGAAUUUAAGCAAAGCACUGUCAGAUAAUUGCAGCCUUUGAAGACAGACACCUAAAAACAACAACCAUACACAUAUACUCUCUGCCUUCUACAGCCUGAAUUUCCAGACUGCUUCUCCUAUAAAAAUGACUUAUUUUUUAGAAUAAUCACACAUAUUUUGACUAGUUUUCCUUUUUAGUUAUAUUCUUUGCAAAAGCAUUUAGGCAUUUGGAAACAGUCUAUUUGUUUCUUCUAUCUAGCUCAGGCACUAUCAGUUCAUCUUGUGAUUAUGACAGAAAUAAACACCCAACAGGAAUCCUCUGUUCUCAAAGUCAGGUAGGUGUGUAAUAUUGUUAGGUUUUUCAGGAUUUAGAGCAAAGUGUAUCUAGAGAAAGUGCUCCUGUCUUGUGCUGCUGUGAAAUUCACAGCAAACAUGGUUAUUUGGCUUUGCAGAACACUAGCAGUUCCCUUCCUCUGACAGCUCUUGCAAUAGUGGCUGGGAUAGAAGAUCCUCAGAACUGUGUAAAUCAAAUUCUAUAUAAUCCGCUUAGAGGGGAAGCAAAUUAAAAGCGAUUUUUUGUGAGUUUCUGAGCCCAACACAUGGUCUUCUCCACAAAUGGAAUUUGAUACUCAACCCAUCCCUACCACCAACCUGAGGAAUGUAAAUCUGUCAAGAAGUUUACAAUUAGCCAACAAGUCCACAUGAGCAAUGGAAUGUCCAGUCAAAACUUAAGAUGCAUUUUCUUAAGCUUUCUAAACAGAAUCUGUUUUCUACUUUUUGUUGGUAAGUAACUUCUGCAAAUCACUUGAGCAUUCUAGGUUACUGCAUUAUCUCAAAAACAGCAUAACUUCCAGCCUCUCUCUCUCACUCGUAAAAUAUUACAAAGUCGAGUCCAAGCCAAAAACAUAAGCCAGUCCGAAAGCAGAUCUGUGGAGAUGCUAUUUUGUUGUUGCUGUUACACCCACUCUUGGGGGAGAUAGCAGAUGAUGCUCUGGCCUCGCUCACGAUGACUGCCUACAAGCUCACUGCACUAGUUGUCUUGCUACAAACCAAACUAACCACUUAGAAAUAUGAAAUGGGAGUUGGAUUCUUUAAGCCAAGUUAACUUGGAAAUUAACUGGAGAUAUUAAAGAUUAAUCUUAUCUCACUGCAUUAGGUACAUACUAACAGGCAAAUAUUUCUAAGGGUAUAGCCUAAUGUUUAAAAGUGCAAGUUUUGCCAUCAAAUAGAAUGCAUAACUAGUAACUUCUGUCAUUAGUUAGCUGUGUGGCCUUGGGGAUGUUGAUAAACCUUGCUGUGCACAGUCUUCUAUUUUAUGAUGUGAGGAUAAAAAUGGUAUCUCUCUCAUAUAGUCACUAUGAAGAAUAAAUUAUACAAUUCUGUAUCUUCUCCAUCUUGGGCUAUCUUUCAAAAUUUGACAUUCUCCAGCUUCAUCAUACACAGCUUUAAGAUCUUUAGAUAUCUAGCUUUUUCCCAUAAAACAUGAGAUGCAGGACAGACUUCUGCACAUACAUCCAGAAAACUUAUCAACCCAAGUAUUUUCCUAAACAAAAACAAUCACCUCCUUAAGAGGAAUUCUACUUUCAGCUUUAAAAAUGAAAUUAUAGAGGCAAAAGCAUCAAGCACAGUGUGUACACCAUGUUAAGUUCUUAACAAAUGUGAGGUGAAUCCGAAGCUAUAGCUUGCCUACUUCUGUUUACUCAAAUUCUUGGUGAAAAAUCUUAUUGAUACUAUUCAAAGUCAGCUGUCUGGCUGUCUACCUCCCCAAACCAUUCCAUGGAUAGAGGCUCUUUAUCUUGCCUUAGAACUUUCACUGGCCCUAUCUUUGCCAUAUAUUGGAUUUGCAGUUUCCUGAAGCCUCUCUUGGCAGGGAUCAUAGAAGCAGAGAGGAGGAGGAGCAGAGGAUAGGAGUAGGAAUCAGGGAACCCACUCUGCUGAUGGCAGAUGGACAGAGAGGGGCUGGAUCCCUCCAGCAUUCACACCAUAUCCAAACCUCUGAGAGGACCACGUGUAUGGCCAAUGUUUUUGUUUCCUUUAUUCAUCUAUGAAUCAAUAUGAUAAACUCCUGGAUCUUUAAGGUAGGCUGAGUGUUUCUCCUCUGCAACCAAAAGAACCUACCUCAUAUGUUUCCCAUUAUACGGGGCAUUUUCUCCUUAGCAAACACAAAUUACUUCCAGGGAGCAUCAGCAGGUGUGUCUGCACUUCUUUCUCAUAAGGUAGCAUGGAUCCAGGUGGCCAUCUUCAAGAGUAAGCACAAACCAGUAUUUCCCAUCAUGGCUCAGAGGAAAUGAAUCUGACUAGUAUUAUGAGGAUGCAAGUUUGAUCCCUGGCCUUGCUCAGUGGGUUAAGUAUCCAACAUUGCCCCAAGCUGUGGCGUAGGUUGCUGGCACAGCUUGGAUCCUGCAUUGCUGUGGCUGUGGUGUAGGCUGGCAGCUACAGCUCAGGUUUGACCCCUGGCCUGGGAGCCUCCAUAUGCAAUGGGUGCGGC
rnacentral:lncRNA from 1 species